CGCGGGGUGGAGCAGCUCGGUAGCUCGCUGGGCUCAUAACCCAGAGGUCCAUGGUUCAAAUCCAUGCCCCGCUACAA
rnacentral:tRNA from 3 species